AACCUGGUUGAUCCUGCCAGUAGGUCUAUAUGCUUGUCUCAAAGAUUAAGCCAUGCAUGUGUAAGUAUAAGUAUUAUACGGCGAAACUGCGAAUGGCUCAUUAAAACAGUUAUGAUUUAUUUGAUAAUCGAAAGUUACAUGGAUAACCGUGACAAAUUACAGCUAAUACAUGCAGUCAGACCUGGCUCAAGGGUCGUAAUUAUUAGUACCAAACCAAUUCCGCGAGGAAUGUGUUGAAUCAUAGUAAUCGAACGAAUCGCAGGUAUAUGCGAUAAAUCAUUCAAGUUUCUGCCCUAUCAGCUUUGGAUGGUAGUGUAUUGGACUACCAUGGCAGUCACGGGUAACGGAGAAUUAGGGUUCGAUUCCGGAGAGGGAGCCUGAGAAACGGCUACCACAUCUACGGAAGGCAGCAGGCGCGAAAAUUGCCCAAUCCUGACACGGGGAGGCAGUGACAAGAAAUAACAACUCUAGGUUUUCUUAGAAGUGUAAUGAGGAUAAUUUACAAACCUUACCAAAUGCAAUUGGAGGGCAAGUCUGGUGCCAGCAGCCGCGGUAAUUCCAGCUCCAAUAGCGUAUAUUAAAGUUGUUGCUCUUAAAAAGCUCGUAGUUGAAAUUCUGAUUGUUCGGGUCUUUAGCCUUUAGGCGGAGAUACCGACAGUCAUCCGCUUGCAAACAUACGUUCGAUCUUCACCGGUUGACUAUGUGAGUAAGCAUUUUACCUUGAGAAAAACAGAGUGUUCCAGGCAGGUUUGUCCGGAAUGCAUUAGCAUGGAAUAAUAGAACAUGACUGAAGUCUAUUUAUUGGUUAAAGGCUUUAGUAAUGAUUAAUAGGAACAGUCGGGGGCAUUCGUACUCAGCAGUCAGAGGUGAAAUUCUAAGAUUUGCUGAAGACGAACUAAUGCGGAAGCAUUUGCCAAGGAUGUUUUCAUUAAUCAAGAACGAAAGUUAGGGGAUCAAAGACGAUCAGAUACCGUCCUAGUCUUAACUAUAAACGAUACCGACUCGGAUUCAGAUGAAUCAAAAUGUUCAUUUGGGACCGUAGGAGAAAUCAAAGUCUUUGGGUUCUGGGGGGAGUAUGGUCGCAAGGCUGAAACUUAAAGGAAUUGACGGUUUUGCACCACCAUGGAGUGGAGUUUGCGGCUUAAUUUGACUCAACACUGGGAAACUCAUCAGGGCAAGAAGAUUUUAGGAUUGACAGAUUGAGAGUUCUUUCUUGAUUGGUCUAGUGGUGGUGCAUGGCCGUUCUUAGCUGGUGGAGUGAGAUGUCUGGUUAAUUCCGUUAACGAACGAGACCUUAACCUGCUAACUAGUGUUUCGAUCUCAAAUCGGGAGCACUUCUUAGAGGGACUAUGUGAUGUAAUCACAUGGAAGUUUGAGGCAAUAACAGGUCUGUGAUGCCCUUAGAUGUCCUGAGCUGCACGCGUACUACAAUGGCACUUUCAACGAGUUUCUCCUGAUCCGAAAGGAUUUGGGUAAUCUUUUUAGUGAGUGCCGUGAUUGGGAUAGAUCUUUGUAAUUGUGGAUCUUGAACUAGGAAUUCCUAGUAAGCGCGAUUCAUCAAAUCGUGCUGAUUACGUCCCUGCAAAAUGUACACACCGCCCGUCGCUUUUACCGAUUGAGUGUUCAGGUGAGUCUUCUUGAUAGUUGCAAAGCUAAAAAUUAAACAAACCUUAGCACUUAGAGGAAAAAGAAGUCGUAACAAGGUUUCCGUAGGUGAACCUGCAGAAGGAUCAGGAUCCGG
rnacentral:rRNA from 1 species